UAGCAGUCCAAUCACUCGCUGUGAUUGGCUGCUCUCGGUGCAGAGGCUCACGGGAUUGCAAAGAUGUCCGCGUUCUUUUGAAAGUCUGUUUUUUACUUCAUUUUCACUGCUUAUCAUUAGUUUUUAGUUAGUUUCAUUAUCGGUCUAGUACAUUUUGGUGAUAUCCACUGAAAGAAAGGACGGGACUCCAAGACAAGAGCCAGACUAUUCCUUAUUACCAGAAAUAAAAUGCUGAUAUUGGGGACUCAUGUCGAACGUGCAUGAAGAGAGAGCUGCCAUGAUGAUAGCCGCUGGGGAACUGCAGCCGUUUGUCCCGUUCGGCCGUGAGCACUGCCAACGCCACCCAAGCGCCGUGAACCUCCAGCUGCGCCAGCUGCAGCCUGCCCCCGAGCUCUGGUGCUCUGAUGGAACGGCCGGACUAGUGGGCUCCUUGCAGGAGGUCAGCCUCCAGGAGAGAGAGAAACAGGAGUCCUGGCAGCUGAGGAAAAGCUCAGCUGUGUUGAGUGAUGAAGCAGAGUAUGAAGAGGAGCUGUAUGUAGCCGGACACAUGGUCAUCUGGAGCCGUGGGACCAAAAGUCAAUCUUCAUAUGUUUACAAGGCUUUCACUGUGGACAGUCCCGUUCAGCAGGCCCUGUGGUGUAAUUUCACUGUUCCUCAAUCCCGGAAAGAGGAAAAGGACACGGUUGAACAGAGUGUCUGCAUCGUUCAAAGCUCAUGUGUGAAUGUACACUCUGUGAGUGGGAAGGACUUCAUCUCCCCAUUGCCGUUUCAGGUCUCCUUUUUGUGGCCCACUAAGUUUGGAUUGCUUUUUGAGCGCAAAAAUGUCACAUCUGAUGCUCCACUGAGCCCCUCAAGGGAGCCUCUUCCGACACUAUUUAGCAUGCUCCACCCUCUGGAUGAAAUAGCCCCUGUUGUCUGCAAGUCUACAGCAGGGCUGUUUGAGACGCAGCGGCUGCAGUAUGUAUCUGACAGCGCGCUUCAAGUGGUGUUCUCCUGUGCAGAACCCUCCAUCAUCAUGACCUAUGACACACAGCAGUGCAGUCAUACUAUCUGGGCUUUGCGCAAAGUCACACCAGAGGAGCAGUCUACGGUUUUGAAGUGUCCCAGUCAGGAUGGGUCGACUCAGACCCCCACAGCCGCGCCCACUUUCCUUGGCACCCACCUGAGGAGCAUGAGCCGGCUAGACUCCCCUGGCUCGCCCCUGCACUGUCAUGCGCUGCAUAACCAGAGCCGCGUGCCCGCCUCACCCGCACUGCACUCCCGUGCACACUCUCCCAGUAUCUCCAACAUGGCUGCUCUCAGCCGUGCUCACUCCCCUGGCAUGGCUGCACCUUCUUUUACGGGAGCACAGCGCUUCAACAUGUCAUGCCACUCACCGUCAGCCCGCGGACACAGCCUGCUAACAUCCCCCAACAGCACCCUGAAUGAAACAGCACUAAUGCCUGAGAUGGAGCCCAUCCUGCCUGACCUCUGCAUUGAGCAGCUGUGGACAGAGACUAUUAGUUCCUACAGGGAGAAGACCUGCCAGGCAUCCAAAGUGUUCAUUACUUCUGACCUGUGUGAGAACAGAUAUCUGUGUUUCCUGGUUGAAUCCCACCAGCAGCUCAGAUGCGUCAAGUUUCUUGAAAGCAAUGAAACUUCCCAGCUCAUAUUUGCUUCAGUUACCUCCAUUCCGGCCAAAGAUGCGGCACCUUUGGCGGACAUAGAUGCUUUGCUGGUAUUAGAAAACAAUGGCAGCUUGGUCUUGUACACCGGAGUCACACAGGUGAGCAAAGUGUUUGUCCCAGGUCUUCUGUCACCAACCUUCAGUUUGCCAAACACCCUGCCGCACUUAAACACCCCUUUGGAGAACGUGAGCACUCCAGCAAAAGCAACCGUCCACCAUAUGAGCAGGCUCCCAGAGUCCGACAUGCCUUCUCCGGUGUCAGAGAUGAGAACAGUGCAGCAUCAUGAGUCAUCGUGGCUAGAGGAUUCUCCGUUCCAGCAGGCAACGCCACAUAUCCAAGCCCUGCGAGACCCAGUCAGCAACCGUCUCACACUGGAGCUGAGCAAUGGCUCAAUGCUGAGGAUCACCAUUCCUGAAGUGGCUACAUCAGAGCUGGUGAAACGAUCCCUGCAAGCCAUUCGGUUCAUUUUGCCCAAAGACACAGCUAUGAAGGUGUUGGUAAAGUGGUACAAUGUUUACAACGCCCCCGGAGGCCCCAGCAUGCAUCAGGAGUGGAAUCUGUUUGUCACAUGCCUGAUGACACUGAUGGGCUACAACACGGAGCGGCUGUCAUGGACGCGGAACGUCAGUAACCUGCUUUUUGAAGUGCCCCUCUCACCGGUAAUUGCUCCCAAGAAGGCACGUCCAGCAGAUACAGGGUCUGACGAAGACUGGACAUACCUCUGUAGCUCAGACUACCACAGCCAGGUGUCCGUGUAUCCAGCCCCAGGCAUGUCCAGUCUACAUGCAGUAGUGUCUGCUGGUAUCAUGACUGAGAGCGGGCCGGCAGCAGGGCUGGAGCCCUCAGCUCUGCUCUUCACCCACAUCCCAGCACUUUUCUAUGUGCUCCAUCUGCUGUAUGAGGACUUGAAACUGGACGAGCUCCAAUGUAGCGGCGCCCGUGCCCUCGUGGGCCUCCUCCAACAGAUGGCCAGGGACCUGGAGCAGGAGGAAUACAUUGAUUUGUACUGGCGUGAUUACCCCUCAUUCAUCAAAAGCUUCAAGGAAACCUGCAAGAUAGAUCAGGCUCAGAUGGAGUUGAUGAGCUGGCCAGCUUACUUGAAUGGCGAAGUGCCAUGUGUAUUUGCGUGGCUAAGCAGCUGUCUGAGGGGACAGGAAGUGCCCCCAUUUCCAUAUCUGCCUGGCAUUUGUGAGAGGACCAAACUGAUUGUGUUGAGCUAUGCGCUAUAUGUAGUGGAAGAUGAAAAUGCUACUUCAUCUAAUGUGUCUAAGUACCUGUCCCGGCUCUCUGCAGGGCAGAAGAAGGGUUUCACCGAGCCUGCCCUAAGAAGACAGAGCAGUGUAAAGCAUAGUUCUCCAGCAGGCUGUCUCGCAGAGAAACUGGUGGUGUGGUUGACCUCUGAAGGCUUUAUGCUGAAGGAUCUGGAGUCUGUGCCUUUUGGUGUGGCGCUGCCUAUCCGUGAUGCCAUCGUCCAGUGCAGAGAGCAUCCCUGCUCCGAUUGGUCUGAAGAGGUCUGUGCUCUGAUUGGACGACAGGACUUAACCAAGCAGGCUCACAAGGUUUCCCUAGCCAAAGGAAAACCGAUGGUAGCCCUAAAUGAGCCACUAGAAUCUCCAAUAACGAGUGAGGCAGAUGAGGAAGAGGAUGGCAUGACAGAUCUUCACCCAGAGGUGACAGGACUGAUCUGGAGCCGUGACCUUCGUGUUCAAGAGGUUCGCCGGUUGCUCCAAAGCUCCAGACCUGUGCGGGUCAAUGUCCCCCACCUGCCAGAGGUCAGCGACCAUGAGUAUAUUGAGGAGAAGGAGAACAAACUUCUCCAGCUGUGCCAGCGCACCAUGGCUCUCCCUGUGGGUCGAGGACUCUUCACACUGUUUUCGUACCAUCCAGUACCGACCGAGCCCCUGCCUGUGCCCAAGCUCAACCUGACUGGACGAGCUCCACCCAGGAACACCACCGUGGACCUGAACAGUGGCAAUGUAGAUGUGCCACCCAACAUGGCAAGCUGGCCCAGCUUUCACAACGGUGUGGCAGCAGGCUUGAAGAUUGCGCCAGCAUCGCGUGUCGAAUCGGCCUGGAUCGCCUACAACAAACCCAAGAGCACAGAGCUUGCCAACGAGUACGCAGGCUUCCUAAUGGCGCUCGGCCUUAACGGCCACCUCACCAAACUUGCCACGCUAAACAUCCACGACUAUCUAACUAAGGGCCAUGAGAUGACAAGCAUAGGGCUCUUGUUGGGUGUUUCAGCAGCUAAGCUGGGCACUAUGGACAUGUCAGUCACACGCCUGCUGAGCAUCCAUGUGCCCGCCCUGCUUCCACCCACUUCCACUGAACUGGAUGUGCCACACAGCGUGCAGGUGGCAGCAGUGGUGGGUAUCGGCCUUGUGUACCAGGGUACUGGACACCGCCAUAAUGCUGAGGUGCUGCUUGCUGAGAUAGGCCGUCCUCCCGGGCCUGAAAUGGAAUACUGCUCAGACAGAGAGUCCUACUCUCUAGCAGCAGGCCUGGCACUUGGCAUGGUUUGCCUUGGGCAUGGGAGUAACCUGAUCGGCAUGACAGACCUGAAUGUGCCGGAGCAGCUUUACCAGUACAUGGUGGGAGGACACCGACGCACACACACCGGCAUUAACCGAGAGAAGCAUAAAUCCCCAAGCUACCAGAUAAAGGAAGGUGACACGAUCAAUGUGGAUGUGACCUGCCCUGGUGCCACCUUGGCUCUUGCUAUGAUCUAUCUUAAAACCAACAAUAGGUCUAUAGCCGAUUGGUUGAAAGCCCCAGACACCAUGUUCCUUCUGGACUUCAUCAAGCCUGAAUUUCUGCUGCUAAGGACUCUGGCCAGAUGCCUCAUCAUGUGGGAUGAGAUACUGCCUAAUGAGGAAUGGGUGACUAGCAAUGUGCCUCAGAUAAUUCAAGAGAACAUCGGACUUCAGGAGGAAGCACUGGUAUCUGAGGAUCUGAACAUGGAAACUUUGGUACAAGCUCAUGAUUAUAUCAUCGCUGGGGCCUGCAUGGCUGUGGGUUUUAGAUUUGCUGGAUCUGCAAAUUCUGAUGCCUUUGACUGCCUGUACAAGUUUGCCCGAAACUUCAUGAAGUCUCUCACUAGCACUACGUCUACAGCUACAGUUUCUGGGCAGUAUAACCUGCAGACAUGUCUGAGCAUGGUGCUUUUGGCCACUUCCAUGGUCAUGGCCGGCUCAGGGAACCUAAAGGUGCUUCAGCUCUGCCGUUUUCUGCACAAGCGUACUUUCGGUGAGAUGAACUACGGAUUCCAUAUGGCUCACCACAUGGCCUUGGGCCUACUCUUUCUCGGAGGAGGCAGGUACACACUCAGCACCUCAAACUCCGCCAUUGCUGCCCUUCUCUGUGCUCUUUAUCCUCACUUUCCGGCUCAUAGCACAGAUAAUAGGUAUCAUCUCCAGGCCUUGCGUCACCUCUGUGUGCUGGCAGCUGAGCCUCGGUUACUCGUUCCUGUGGACGUAGACACUCUGAAACCGUGUUAUGCCUUGCUUGACGUCACCUACAAGGAAACACAGUGGUAUGAGGAGACAACUGUGGAAUUGAUGGCUCCCACUAUGCUCCCCGAACUUCAUCUCCUGAAACAGAUUAAAGUGAAGGGUCCAAGAUACUGGGAACUGAACAUCGAUCUGACAAAAGGAACUCCGCAUCUGCAGUCCAUCCUUUCCAGAGACGGUGUUCUUUACGUGAAGCUGCGUGCUGGACAGCUGCCCUAUAAGGAUGAUCCUCGGGGUUGGAAAAGUCUGCUGGCUGCUAGUGUGAACAACAGAAACCCAGAAGUGCGCACUUUCAAGCCUGAAGCCAUUUCAACAUUCACGUCAGACGCUGCCUUGGUUUCCUUUGCAAAGUACUUCUGUGAAGCCUCGGAAAACAUGAAGAAUAAACAGGAGACCGUUGCCUUAUUCUCAGCUAUACUGUAUGAAUGUGUGACCCAGGAAAAUCCAGAGAUGCUGCCCACUCAUAUCUCUAUUGAUCAGGUUGUGAAGGCUCUGGAGCAGGGUGACCUGAGUGAGACCUUCUCUCUGUGGCAGAUGAAGUUAGUGCUGGAGCUCUGUGAGAGCAGAAUAUUACAGCAGAGACUGCGGGACACGCAAAGGCAAAGCCGAGGUCUGCUGCUAAGUUCCGAGUUCCUGCCCGUCAUGAAGAGCUCAGCCGACCAGGCCCUAGACCGCUGGCUCUGUGACAACAGGCAUGUGCUACAGGAGUACGUUAGAAGGCAGUCUACCAGUGACGAUACAGACACCAGCAUUUUAGCCUGCUUCUUGGUCUAUCACUCAAUUCCUAGCUUCAGGAAGAUGGCCACAGUAGACCUUGAUGGAUGCUCCUCUUUCCCUGAGCUGCUGUUGAAGUUCAGUCAGUUGGGCGUUCCUGUUCGAGGCCUGCUGCAUGUCAGUCCUUUGCUCUUACAGGAUGGUGGCUCGGCGAUAUUACAACACUUUUCCUCUGACCCACAGAAGACAUGAACAUAACAUGUUCCUUUUACAAAUGUCUUCCAAGGGAGACUCCAACACAACUAACAUGAAAUCCUUUCUGGGAUAUUUAAAGGAUGGCCCAGGUUUCAUGGCCACUAGAGAAAGACCCGAUCUAUUCUACAAGCUACAUUUCUACACACCUAACAAAUCUGAGGAACAGGUCAUCUCAGGUAUCCAUGUUUUUGGAUCUGUAUGCUGCAUCUAUACAUUUAAUGAUAUGUAUAUAUCUAUAAGCUAUAUAUUGCUAUAUCUAUAUGUUGCUAUAUCUGAGCAACAGAUAAUCAUGAUGAGUUGAUGUGAAACCCUGAUAGCAAUGAUAACUGAAGUUGAGUAAUGAAAGGAGCAAAUAAAUAUUACCCUGAAAAAAACAUGCUCGUCGUGACAUUUGUCUGUUUCUGUGGUCUGUGUCGGGACCCGAAAGUGUUUGUUUUAAUGGUGUUUACAUUUGAUGUGUCCUCCUACUUGUCUAUCAGUUGGUUGAGAUGUGGUUUAGAACAAACACUAUGCAUUCCCAGACUCUGAGAACGCAUGUAAUGUUUUCAAAUGUCACUCUCUCUCUCUCUCUCUCUCUCUCACGCACGCACACCUACAUGUACACAUGAUCAGACACAUGCUGAGCAGGAGGCAGUAUGUUUUUAAACAUAUCAAUAGAAAUAGCUUGUGAACAGCAAAUAAGUCAAAUGCCUAUGCAGAACUACAGAACCAUGCAAAAGUCUUAGAAAUGUAGAAAGCUGCUCUGUAAAAAAUACAAUUUCUAAAUAUUUAAAGCAUUCUUUAUUUAAUACAAAGAGCAGAAUAAUAAUGAAAGGGGAUGGUAGAUUGUCAAAAGCAUCAAAAGGAGAAUUUGAGAUGAUUUUAUCUCUAUUAAUCCUUAAUGUAUUUUUUUUAUUAAAAAUGAAAAGUG